UCUUAUGGAUGAACAAAGAAAGUAGUUUCUUGAAAUGGAAUCUACUCUAGAUGAAAAUCCUGUGAG
rnacentral:pre_miRNA from 1 species